rnacentral:lncRNA from 1 species
GGACUGAAGGCUGGGUGUCGGAGGCUGGAUCCUGCUUUAGUGGAAGUGUCCCUUUAACAGCGGCUGGCCUGGCCUGGCUCGGGCCCUGCUUUGCCUCCUGUUCAGCUGUGACUGCAGCUACCAUGCUGACUCAUGUGCCUGCAGCUAGCAAGAGCUGGCAGCAUGGGCUCCCCAGGGGCUACGACAGGCUGGGGGCUUCUGGAUUAUAAGACAGAGAAGUGGGCUCUCCUCGCCAAAAAAGGCUACCAGGACCGGGAUCUUGACCCCCAGAUUUCUGUCAUCACCAAACUCAAAGGGAAGUGGCCGACUUGGUGAAGCCGCCUCAGGGAGAAAACGUGUUCUUCUUGGUGACCAACUUCCUUGUGACGCCAGCCCAAGUUCAGGGCAGAUGCCCA